rnacentral:rRNA from 1 species
UACGUAGGGCGCGAGCGUUAAUCGGAAUUACUGGGCGUAAAGCGUGCGCAGGCGGUGCGCCAAGCUCGAUGUGAAAGCCCCGGGCUUAACCUGGGAAUUGCAUUGAGGACUGGCGUGCUCGAGUGCGGCAGAGGGGGGUGGAAUUCCACGUGUAGCAGUGAAAUGCGUAGAGAUGUGGAGGAACACCGAUGGCGAAGGCAGGUCUCUGGGCCACUACUGACGCUGAGAAGCGAAAGCAUGGGGAGCGAACAGG